CCGCCAGAGGACUACUAAUGAAAGUUUAAAACUCAAAGGACUUGGCGGUGUCCCAUAUCGACCUAGAGGAGCCUGUCCUAUAAUCGACACCCCCCGUUCCACCCAACCUUAAUUAGCUUUUAUCAACCUAUAUACCGCCGUCGACAGCUUACCCCAUGAGGGUAAAACAGUAAGCAAAAUAACCUCUUCGUUAACACGUCAGGUCAAGGUGUAGUAUAUAUUAAGGCAGUGAUUGGCUACAUUUUUAAAAAUUAAAAAUACGGAAUACAACAUGAAACCUUGUAUGAAGGUGAAUUUAGUAGUAAAAU
rnacentral:rRNA from 1 species